GACGAACGCUGGCGGCGUGCUUAACACAUGCAAGUCGAACGGAAAGGCCCCCUUGUGGGGUACUCGAGUGGCGAACGGGUGAGUAACACGUGAGUAACCUACCCUUUACUUUGGGAUAACUUCAGGAAACUGGGGCUAAUACCGGAUAGGAGCUCCUGCUGCAUGGUGGGGGUUGGAAAGUUUCGGCGGUUGGGGAUGGACUCGCGGCUUGUCAGCUUGUUGGUGGGGUAGUGGCUCACCAAGGCUUUGACGGGUAGCCGGCCUGAGAGGGUGACCGGCCACAUUGGGACUGAGAUACGGCCCAGACUCCUACGGGAGGCAGCAGUGGGGAAUAUUGCACAAUGGGCGGAAGCCUGAUGCAGCAACGCCGCGUGCGGGAUGACGGCCUUCGGGUUGUAAACCGCUUUCGCCUGUGACGAAGCGUGAGUGACGGUAAUGGGUAAAGAAGCACCGGCUAACUACGUG
rnacentral:rRNA from 1 species